GAUGAACGCUGGCGGCGUGCCUAAUACAUGCAAGUCGAGCGAACGGACGAGAAGCUUGCUUCUCUGAUGUUAGCGGCGGACGGGUGAGUAACACGUGGAUAACCUACCUAUAAGACUGGGAUAACUUCGGGAAACCGGAGCUAAUACCGGAUAAUAUUUUGAACCGCAUGGUUCAAAAGUGAAAGACGGUCUUGCUGUCACUUAUAGAUGGAUCCGCGCUGCAUUAGCUAGUUGGUAAGGUAACGGCUUACCAAGGCAACGAUGCAUAGCCGACCUGAGAGGGUGAUCGGCCACACGGGAACUGAGACACGGUCCAGACUCCUACGGGAGGCAGCAGUAGGGAAUCUUCCACAAUGGGCGAAAGCCUGACGGAGCAACGCCGCGUGAGUGAUGAAGGUCUUCGGAUCGUAAAACUCUGUUAUUAGGGAAGAACAUAUGUGUAAGUAACUGUGCACAUCUUGACGGUACCUAAUCAGAAAGCCACGGCUAACUACGUG
rnacentral:rRNA from 1 species